UGGCUCACUGGUUAAGAGCACUGGCUUGCUCUUCCAGAGGAUCUGGGUUCAAUUCCUAG
rnacentral:tRNA from 1 species